UAAAAAUGAAAAUUUGACCCCACUAAAAAUAUAAUUUCACAAAUAUAAUCACAAAACAUUAAAGAUUGAAGAUAAUUUAAAAUUAUAUAAAUAAUAUGUUUAUUUUAUUUGUUAAACAUUUGAUUUAUAUUAAUUUUAGCUUAGAUUUCAAUAAACACGUUUUUAUAAUAAGUGUUAGUUACAUAUUUCAAUAACUCCCAAAUUGUAUUAGGUCCAAUAAUGAGCGAAUUUGAAAAAAAGAGAUUUGUACUUCUUUUCUGGACAACGCAAAGAGGAAGAACUCUCAUGUUCCCCAAACAAUUUUUAGAUAAUUUUUUUUUGAUCGAAUAAUUUUUAAAUAAGUUUUCUAUUUUUUUUUGUUAUACACUCUCUUCUUUAUUUUAGCAAACUAAAAAUGAUUAUGAUUCAAUGAUUAUGUAAAUUUAUCAGUUAACUAAUGGAUCAGUUUCUGAAUCGGCAAAAAAAUAUCAGCCAAUGAAAAUCAUCAAAAAAUAAUAUUACAAUAUCGCAUCAGUAAUGAAUUUCUAAAACUUUUAUGAUUUGUUUUAUCAAAAUUAUUUUAAAUUGUAGUAAAUAAUUAUGGUAAACAAGUUUUAAGAUAUGAAUGAUCAUAUAGUAUAUUUAUAGUUUUUCCGUGGUUAUAAAUUAUGUAUUUGGAGAUAAAAAAAUUUGACCCCGGUACAAAAACUUUCUGGCGGCUCCGCCACUGCCUCUAGAUACCGCUAAAGAUCCUUGGAUUCUCCAAACACUGUUAAAUGUAUCAACAUAACCGCCCUGCAAGAUUAUCAUGCUAAAACUCAGAACCAAAAACAUACUAAAACGAGGUUGUACUACGUAGGUUGCUAUUUUUUCUAAAACCCUAAAAACCAAGAAAAAUAUAAACUGAAUGAAGACUAAAUAUCAAUGCACUACUUAAUCAUAUUCUUGAAAAUCAACCAUAAGUUUAUUGAAAAAUGAUUUACAAACAUUAAAUGUUAAUAUAGAGGUAUGAAUUAUUACCGAGCUUUCAAUUCUGUUCCGUUCAUCGUCCCUCGAAGGGCGGUGGUCAGAAGUCAGAGCCUCCGCGAAUCCUCCAACGCUCAAAACAGCACGGCAGUCACCGGCAUUGGACACCACGAGAUUCCCAUCUUUAAUCAGAGCCGUGACGCAGCAAGAUCCUCCCUUAACAUCUUUCUCCUUGAGAAACUCAGAAUCAGUCGUUAGGUAACCACGUUUCACAGCUUCUUCAAUAUCUGACUCGUUCCUCUCACUACCUCUCUCUCCUAGAAUGUUAUUACACAAGUUCUUAGCCGCAAACUCAGCCGCUCUUGAUCCUCCAUGACCAUCAUAGACUCCAAAAAUUGCCUGCAAAUCGUAGAACAACAUUUGAGAUUUAAUGACUACUUCUACAAUAUGAACUUCACAUAUGAUUCAUUGGUCAUAUUAGAAUUUUGAUAGGGAGCUUUGAAUUUGAUUCAAUGUUCUAAAAUCCAAAUCUUAUUUGGCAAAAUAAAUUUAUUCUAAAAUCUAAACUAUCUGAUUCCCACACAAAAAAUGAGAUUAUAUAUAAUACAUAUUGGAAUAUCAUUUUUCUAGUAAUUAUUACAAUUUGAAAUAAUAAAAGAGAACUGAAGUUACCUGUUUGGGAUCUCUUUCAAGAUUGGUGAUGGCAGAGAACCGAUCCUCCAUAGCUUCUCUCUUUCCUCUCUUGCAGUAAACUGAAAACUCAUCACCUUCCCUUUCCACCUCUCCACUUUCUUCCCUUGUCGUCUCUGCAUUCACAGAGAUAGGUGCUGCAACACCCACGGGAGCCACCGGUAUGUCUAGCCUCGUAGGUCGCUUCCUCUUCAGAACGCCUCCCAGCUGGCGGUCAAAGGGACCAGAGUCCGAACCAAACACUGAAUUAACCGGCGGUUUAAGAAGACGGAGGCAGAACGGCGAAGUGGGAGACGCAGCCGAAGGAGAAGAAGCAAGAGGAGUGAGAUGGGAAUGAGACAGAGUCAGGUUUUGAUGCGCCGGAGAAAUGUUCAACGCCUUGUUGUUGCAGAAAAGAGACGAGGACGGGGAGAAAACCGGCGAGCUGCAGACGGCAACAGACAUCCUUUCCUUUAAACCUUUUUUGUUGAUGAUUUUUUUUUUUCCUGUAUAUUUAUUUUGUUUGCGUUCUCCUAGUCGUUUGAAUGAAUGUUAUCAACGAAGGUGAAAAGAAGCUAUAAAUAGAAGAGAAGUCUUCGAGGCCUAUCGGCGACGACGCUUUCUUCUUCAAAGUCAAACGCUACCACCACCAUCUUCUUCUUCUUUGACUUUUCAAAUCACGAACCCACCGCCACAGUCCACUUGUUCCGCCUUAUUUUUAAAAAAUGUUGGUCAACUCCAUUUUGUUGUUACUCUUCCAGAAAAAAAAUAAUUUUGGAUAACAGAACGGAAAAAAAAAGUCAAGAGAAAUAAAUUGUGGUUAUGAACAUAAAAUUCAUUUGAUCACUUCACCUUGAUGUCUGGUGGAGGAAGGAUGAAUAUAAUGAAACACGUGGUAUUAUUAUUUUUCCAUCACACGUGUUACAUAUUGUGAGGAAAAGUCAAAAUAGAAAGAAAGCCCAUCUGAAAAUAAUAAAAGCCGUUUAGAGUGGAGGCCCUAUAGACAGAAAGCCUAUAAUAGUCGGACCGACAUGGAUACAUGGAUAUUUUAUAAUAUUUCUAGAACCCGACCCGGUUCACACUUUUUGUUCCCGGCGGCCGUCUCUCUCCCUAACUCUUGUGACACCUUCUUCUUCUUCUUCCUCCUCUUCUCCUUCGAAGUCAGGUUAGAUUUACGCUUCUUUUAUAUUUACUUUGGGUUUAUGAGAUUGGUUAUCUGGAUUCUUAGUGUUUGUGGUAUCGAACAGAACGGAACACUAAGAUACUCAUGUAAAAGAGAAUCCACUUGGACUUAAGAUCGUACUAAACUUUCAGACGUUCAGAUUUUUUAAGAUUAAGUUUCUAGCUGAAGUAUGUAUUUAUCAGCUAUAUAUAUAGGGGUAUAAACGUUAGAGAUAUCCUGUGUUACGUAACAAUUAAGACUCAUGCACAUACGGUAUGUUAAUAUACACAGAGUGCCCUAAUAACUAAUAUGACAAAUGAAGUUUAAACAUUCUUAAGGUGUUCUCUAAUCUCUACAUAUCUCCACUGGUCAGAUGAAGCGGCGUAACGGAAUCAACAUAACACUGAUAUCGUCCAAGGAGCCUCGUGAAACAGAGAGGUCAACGAGCUUCUUACACGCUAGCAAUGGCUUUUGGUUCUGAUCGGUUCCCAUGCAGAACGGUCGAGCUAUAUCUACUGUCUCCUGGUUACCAACCUUUUCCCACAGACCGUCUGAAGCUAAGAUCAAGAACUCGUGUUGGGGGUUGAUACGUAAAGUCUUUGUCUCUGGCUCAGAUAUCACCCAUCUUUUGAGAUGCGCAUCUCCGAUUCCUCUAGACAGGGGCGGAGGCAGUGAAGGAGGUGUGGGGUCAGCUGACCCCACUACUUUUUUUAAAAAUAUUUUUUUUUAUUUAAGAAAAUUUGUAUUGACCCCUUUAAAAAUGAAAAUUUGACCCCACUAAAAAUAUAAUUUCACAAAUAUAAUCACAAAACAUUAAAGAUUGAAGAUAAUUUAAAAUUAUAUAAAUAAUAUGUUUAUUUUAUUUGUUAAACAUUUGAUUUAUAUUAAUUUUAGCUUAGAUUUCAAUAAACACGUUUUUAUAAUAAGUGUUAGUUACAUAUUUCAAUAACUCCCAAAUUGUAUUAGGUCCAAUAAUGAGCGAAUUUGAAAAAAAGAGAUUUGUACUUCUUUUCUGGACAACGCAAAGAGGAAGAACUCUCAUGUUCCCCAAACAAUUUUUAGAUAAUUUUUUUUUGAUCGAAUAAUUUUUAAAUAAGUUUUCUAUUUUUUUUGUUAUACACUCUCUUCUUUAUUUUAGCAAACU
rnacentral:lncRNA from 1 species